rnacentral:rRNA from 1 species
UGAGGGAUAUUGGUCAAUGGGGGAAACCCUGAACCAGCAACGCCGCGUGAGGGAAGACGGUCUUCGGAUUGUAAACCUUUGUCCUCUGUGAAGAUAAUGACGGUAGCAGAGGAGGAAGCUCCGGCUAACUACGUGCC